UUAUCCCGUGGUGAUUUGCCGGUCGGCUUGCAGCCACGUUAAACAAGUCGCUAAAAGGGACCGAGAG
rnacentral:ncRNA from 1 species